CAGCAGCCGCGGUAAUACAGAGGGUGCGAGCGUUAAUCGGAUUUACUGGGCGUAAAGCGUGCGUAGGCGGCUUCUUAAGUCGGAUGUGAAAUCCCUGAGCUUAACUUAGGAAUUGCAUUCGAUACUGGGAAGCUAGAGUAUGGUAGAGGAUGGUAGAAUUCCAGGUGUAGCGGUGAAAUGCGUAGAGAUCUGGAGGAAUACCGAUGGCGAAGGCAGCCAUCUGGCCUAAUACUGACGCUGAGGUACGAAAGCAUGGGGAGCAAACAGGAUUAGAUACCCCUGUAGUCCCUGUCUCUUAUAC
rnacentral:rRNA from 1 species